rnacentral:tRNA from 1 species
AGAAAGUUAGUCUAAUCCAAGACAGUUGAUUUCGACUCAACAGACCGUAGCUUAUCCCUACGACUCUCUU